rnacentral:rRNA from 1 species
GAGUUUGAUCGUGGCUCAGAAUGAACGCUGGCGGCAUGCCUAACACAUGCAAGUCGAACGAAGGCUUCGGCCUUAGUGGCGCACGGGUGCGUAACGCGUGGGAAUCUGCCCUUGGGUUCGGAAUAACAGUUGGAAACGACUGCUAAUACCGGAUGAUGACGUAAGUCCAAAGAUUUAUCGCCCAAGGAUGAGCCCGCGUAGGAUUAGCUAGUUGGUGAGGUAAGAGCUCACCAAGGCGACGAUCCUUAGCUGGUCUGAGAGGAUGAUCAGCCACACUGGGACUGAGACACGGCCCAGACUCCUACGGGAGGCAGCAGUGGGGAAUAUUGGACAAUGGGCGAAAGCCUGAUCCAGCAAUGCCGCGUGAGUGAUGAAGGCCUUAGGGUUGUAAAGCUCUUUUACCCGGGAUGAUAAUGACAGUGCCGGGAGAAUAAGCUCCGGCUAACUCCGUGCCAGCCGCCGCAGUAAC